AGAGUUUGAUCCUGGCUCAGGAUGAACGCUGGCGGCGUGCCUAACACAUGCAAGUCGAACGAUGAAACCGCCCCCGGGCGGACAUGAAGUGGCGAACGGGUGAGUAACACGUGACCGACCUGCCCCCCGCCCAGGGACAGCCCCCCGAAAGGGGGAUUAAUACCUGGUACUCCGGAAGCGGCGCAUGCCGCCCCCGGGAAAGCUCAGGCGGCGGGGGAUGGGGUCGCGGCCCAUCAGGUAGACGGCGGGGCAGAGGCCCACCGUGCCGACGACGGGUAGCCGGGUUGAGAGACCGACCGGCCACAUUGGGACUGAGAUACGGCCCAGACUCCUACGGGAGGCAGCAGUGGGGAAUUUUGCACAACGGGGGAAACCCUGAUGCAGCGACGCCGCGUGGAGGAAGAAGGUUUUCGGAUUGUAAACUCCUGUCGUUAGGGACGAUAAUGACGGUACCUAACAAGAAAGCACCGGCUAACUACGUGCCAGCAGCCGCGGUAAAACGUAGGGUGCAAGCGUUGUCCGGAAUUACUGGGUGUAAAGGGAGCGCAGGCGGACCGGCAAGUUGGAAGUGAAAACUAUGGGCUCAACCCAUAAAUUGCUUUCAAAACUGCUGGCCUUGAGUAGUGCAGAGGUAGGUGGAAUUCCCGGUGUAGCGGUGGAAUGCGUAGAUAUCGGGAGGAACACCAGUGGCGAAGGCGACCUACUGGGCACCAACUGACGCUGAGGCUCGAAAGCAUGGGUAGCAAACAGGAUUAGAUACCCUGGUAGUCCAUGCCGUAAACGAUGAUUACUAGGUGUUGGAGGAUUGACCCCUUCAGUGCCGCAGUUAACACAAUAAGUAAUCCACCUGGGGAGUACGACCGCAAGGUUGAAACUCAAAGGAAUUGACGGGGGCCCGCACAAGCAGUGGAGUAUGUGGUUUAAUUCGAAGCAACGCGAAGAACCUUACCAGGUCUUGACAUCCGAUGCAUAGUGCAGAGAUGCAUGAAGUCCUUCGGGACAUCGAGACAGGUGGUGCAUGGUUGUCGUCAGCUCGUGUCGUGAGAUGUUGGGUUAAGUCCCGCAACGAGCGCAACCCUUAUUGCCAGUUACUACGCAAGAGGACUCUGGCGAGACUGCCGUUGACAAAACGGAGGAAGGUGGGGAUGACGUCAAAUCAUCAUGCCCUUUAUGACCUGGGCUACACACGUACUACAAUGGCGUUUAACAAAGAGAAGCAAGACCGCGAGGUGGAGCAAAACUCAAAAACAACGUCUCAGUUCAGAUUGCAGGCUGCAACUCGCCUGCAUGAAGUCGGAAUUGCUAGUAAUCGCGGAUCAGCAUGCCGCGGUGAAUACGUUCCCGGGCCUUGUACACACCGCCCGUCACACCAUGAGAGCCGGGGGGACCCGAAGUCGGUAGUCUAACCGCAAGGAGGACGCCGCCGAAGGUAAAACUGGUGAUUGGGGUGAAGUCGUAACAAGGUA
rnacentral:rRNA from 1 species